rnacentral:rRNA from 1 species
AGGCAAUAGAUACCCCGGUAGUCCUAGCCUUAAACGAUGAUGACUUGGUGUGUCGGGUUUGUAGUCCCGACUGUGCCGGAGCUAAACGCGUUAAGUCAUCCGCCUGGGGAGUACGGUCGCAAGACUGAAACUCAAAGGAAUUGACGGGGACCCGGCACAAGCGGUGGAGCAUGUGGUUUAAUUCGACGCAACGCGAAGAACCUUACCUGGGCUAGAAUGCGAAGGAAGACCGCCCAAAAGGUGGUCGUCUAUGGGAAACCAUAGACCUGAAGCAAGGUGCUGCAUGGCUGUCGUCAGCUCGUGUCGUGAGAUGUUGGGUUAAGUCCCGCAACGAGCGCAACCCUUACCGUUAGUUGCUACAGUUCGGCUGAGCACUCUAAUGGAACCGCUGGUGAUAAACUGGAGGAAGGUGGGGACGACGUCAAGUCAUCAUGGCCUUUAUGUCCAGGGCUACGACACGUGCUACAAUGGCCGGUACAAAC